rnacentral:rRNA from 1 species
AGUGAACGCUGGCGGUAGGCCUAACACAUGCAAGUCGAACGGCAGCACAGUAAGAGCUUGCUCUUACGGGUGGCGAGUGGCGGACGAGUGAGGAAUACAUCGGAAUCUACUUUUUCGUGGGGGAUAACGUAGGGAAACUUACGCUAAUACCGCAUACGACCUACGGGUGGAAGCAGGGGAUCUUCGGACCUUGCGCGAUUGAAUGAGCCGAUGUCGGACUAGCUAGUUGGCGGGGUAAAGGCCCACCAAGGCGACGAUCCGUAGCUGGUCUGAGAGGAUGAUCAGCCACACUGGAACUGAGACACGGUCCAGACUCCUACGGGAGGCAGCAGUGGGGAAUAUUGGACAAUGGGCGCAAGCCUGAUCCAGCCAUACCGCGUGGGUGAAGAAGGCCUUCGGGUUGUAAAGCCCUUUUGUUGGGAAAGAAAAGCAGCAGGUUAAUACCCCGCUGUUCUGACGGUACCCAAAGAAUAAGCACCGGCUAACUUCGUG